GACGAACGCUGGCGGCGUGCUUAACACAUGCAAGUCGAACGAAGUUGCGAACGGGUGAGUAACGCGGAAUCAACCUGCCCUUCAGAGGGGGACAACAGUUGGAAACGACUGCUAAUAUCGCAUACCGACCGAGGGGAUUGCGUCUGAUGAUCUAGUUGGAGGGGUAACGGCCCACCAAGGCGAUGAUCAGUAACCUGUCUGAUAUGAUGAACGGCCACAUUGGGACUGAGACACGGCCCAGACUCCUACGGGAGGCAGCAGUGGGGAAUCUUCCGCAAUGGACGAAAGUCUGACGGAGCAACGCCGCGUGAGUGAUGACGGCCUUCGGGUUGUAAAGCUCUGUUAAUCGGGACGCGGUACCGGAAUAGAAAGCCACGGCUAACUACGUGCCAGCAGCCGCGGUAAUUC
rnacentral:rRNA from 1 species